ACAAAUUAAACAGGAAUUUAUAAGUACAAAUUUAUUACUAAUUCUAUUAUUUUUACCUUAAUAUGUGUUCCUCUUCGUGGAUUUCCAUUUUUCGCUUAUCUUUCUAUUUCUAAAUCUAAUGUGCCCUUUUUACUUUAGUAAGAAUGUUUUAUCGUUAAACACAACAUAAUGGUAUGAUAUAUUUACUGAGUAUAAAUGAUUUAUUAUAAGAAAACAAUUUAUAGAAAUAUAUAUGAAUUACUGGCUUUAUUUGGUAAUAUAUUUUUUAACUAACUCCUGUAUAUGAUGGAGACCUUGGAACGGCCUUGCGAAGUUUCUGAAGUAACGUCAACUUUUGACGUUUGUGAUCUUCAGGUUAUGGUGAAAAUUUUUUAAAUAAAUUCAAAAUUACUUUUUAAUAGAACAAAAUAGUAUUGAUAGUAAGAACAAAUUAUCUGAGUUUAUUAUCAUCAUGUAAAUACUAUAGAAUCUAAUUUAUAUAUUCAAAUUAAAAAAGAUCAGUGUCCAAUUAUAUAUAGAAAAGAAUAUAAUGUACGUUUUUUUGGUUUGGAAAGGUUG